rnacentral:lncRNA from 1 species
UUUUUUUUUUUUUUACUAGUUUCCUAUUAUAUGGAGCUUAAAAAUACACCUUCGUUUCUUAUCACACAAACAUCUCCACCUUGCCAUUUCAUUUAUAGGGAUGGAUUUGGGGGUUCUAGAACUGACUAAAUAUUUCUAGUCUCUUUACUCUUUGAUUCCAUCCCUCAUGACAAUAAAAUAAAUAGUAAUAGAGUGGAUUACAAAGAUAGUGUACACAAAUGCAGCAAAGACAUGGUACAUAGUAUAUAUGUAGGUACAAACCAAUUAUAUUUUAUUUUAUCACUGAGAUUGCCUUAUAUCCUCAGCCUUUUCUCUAGUUAUUUGAAGAAUACCAUACACUGUAAGUUAUUAAAACUUAUACUUUGAAAUAAUAAUGCUAAACCCUCUUCCAUUCUGUGUAUUUUAUACUUGUUUGUAUACUUGGUACUAAGAUAUCUGAAAGCUAAUUUUAAGUCCAACAUGAAAAAGUAUUUAUAUAUAUUUUAAUAAUCCAAGUAAUUAAGCAUUAAAAGUGGUAGGAAAAAAUUGGUUAAACAUGAUGAUGUAAUAAAAAUGUUUAGCAUGUCUUCAUUUUCUUCAGACUUUUAAUUGUUUGCUUUUCCUCCUACAUACCAUAAUAAAACAUAGAGUUACAAUCAAUAUGUGAUGACAAAUGGUCUCAGGGUUGGGUUUGCAUUCUUCUAAUUAUAUUGGCAUUUGUAAGCUGGAAAAGAUAGAUGUAAUCAACCACCCUCAGACAAAAGUAGGAUGACUAUUCUGGCAAAAUGUUCAAACCACAUUAAGCCCUAAUUUGAAAUGAUGUUUGAGAGAAAGCAAUGCAACUAGGACCAAUUUAUUUGUACAACAACUAAAAACUGAACUCACUAGGCAUAUUUAAGAGAUGGAAACAAUUAAAUGUGUUUGUUUUCUAAAUAGACCAAGUAUAUCAGAAACUUCGAAAGUGAAAAAAAAAAACACAAUCUCACUAGACACUAUUAUUUCUUGCUGUGCAAUACUUAAAUAAUUUUCUUUAAUGGUCCUCUGAGGUUGUUAUAAUAAAACAUGCUAUUUUUAAGAAUGAAUAAACAAUCUGUUUAAUUUCACAUUAUCAAUAUAUCAGAGUUUCAUUCUAAUUAGCAGCACAUGGAAGAACGUAGCUGUGAGGAAGUGUAGAACAACUGAAUGUCAUUUUAUUGGGGGCAUAUUGUUCGUAUCAUUUUUGUUUUCAGAAAAGAUGGAUCUUGAUGCCCCCUUUUUGUAUUCAAAUCAAGUUUCUAUGGUAUUCUGGUAAAACUAUGUCAUGUGAGAUCUUUCGGGUAUAUAUCUAGACACACUAGACACUUCAGCUGAAGAUAACAAUUGUUCUGGCUCCAAAGAGACUGAAAUAAUGAUGUUUCUAUCCAGAAUAAUAUCCUGCUCCAAAUGUGGGAUGGCCAGACACCAGCAUAUCAUCAAGUCUUUGGCUAAUAUAUGUACCCUGACCACUCAAUCAAGGAGAGUUUCUUUAAGACCAAGUGUCCUAGACUCUCUGGCGUCUUCUCCCUUGGGCUAUAUCCUGUCAAGCCUGGCUAAAAGAGGUGGCUCUUAGCACACUAUAAUGAAGCACAGGUCUGGGAGGGCAGAACUGCCAAGGCCCUACUGAAGUUUGCCAAAACCUGAUGCUACAGAGUAUUGAAAACAGGACAGAGCUCUUUUUGCUUCUCCUCCUUUGCAUCACUAGUUUGUAGAACUUCAAUGAACAUUUUAAUGAAUACGCAUCAAGAGGGAUUUUUUUUUCCAUAAGGAUCAAGGAUCAUACAUCACUAAGCAAAAGUAUAUAAAGCAUGCUUCUUGCAUGGAAGACACAGGAAGGCUGGUAGGAAAGGGAGAAAACACUUACUAAUUUUUUAAUCUUGUUACUUCAUAGCUCCUAAAUACUCAAAGGCUCUCCUUGAGGCUGAUUUACUUCUAAAUAAAUAGAUUUACUUUAUGUAGAAACACAGCAAUUCAAGUGCACAGCGUUUUCCUAACAUAAGUUGUGCCUCCUAAAAACCCAUCUAGGGUUAGGAGAGUGAAUGACUUUGAUAUUGUACCUAUUCAAACUGCUGAGUAAAGAGUUAAGGAGAUUCCACCAAUCAAAGCAUUCAGCCUUAAAGAUAUUUAGCAGGUUAGAAUACUGAUGAGACAAUUAAAGCAUGACUGAAACAUUGAGUCUAAUGAAUUGCUUCAUUCUAUACUAGUGUCAUAUUUCAUGUCUAGCGAGCCUAAAGCACAUUCUGACCUAAAAGCCAAUGAAUGUUUCAGAUACUGAAUUGCCUAGUACUGCAUGUAUAGACCUAUGUCCUACCCAGUGUAGCUAGCCUUUAAGUAGCCUACUCUUAAUUGGAGUUUUGAGAGGAGUAAGAACUGACUCACUACGUCUAUAUAUCCACCAUGCAUGCAUCUUACAACAUAUGAGAUGCAGUGGUACUAAAGGCAUAUGUUAUAUUCUCUAACUUCAGCAUUACAUUUUAAGUCCUUAGACAUGCUAUUGGAAGCCCUUACUAGUCAAACCUUUCCAAACUAACCAGAACAUAUCCUUUUAAUAAAAAAUAAUAGCUAUGUUCUCAUUUUCAAAGUUUGCGAUUAAAACCUACAGUCAAAGAAUCCAGCUGAGAAGAAAUUUCCUUUUGGUCCAAAAAAAAAAAAAAUAAUGUCAUUAAAUUUAUCGGAACAAUAUGAAAUGAAGAUGUUGUUGUUGGGUCCUUCACUUAUAAUGGAAACCAAAUAGGCUUGCUGGCUUAGUUAAAUCCAUAAAUUAUUCUUUACAUAACAUUUCAACAAUAAUUUUAAGCAUAUAAAAAUUAGGGUACAAAAGAAAAUCCCACUGUAAAUGAUAAUCAAACUAAACAAUUACACAUCUUUUUGCAUGUGAUUUAACUGACCAGAUUUCAAAGAAAACCACAUAAUCUCACGUGUUAAAAUAUUGCUUUUAUAUAUUUUAAGCAUGGCAGGAUGGCUUUUCAAAAUAUAACUUGUAGUAUUGGGUGCCAUUCCAACUGCUGUUUCAGAUCCUUUGACAGGGCAGUUUAGUUUGCUAAUCUUGGCUUAUACUUUUAAAAACAACUCACUACAACUUUACGUGGUAGCAUUCUAUCUUUCUCAUGGUUUAUAACCUUAAAAAUGUACUGUUAAAUUGCUUUUGAUAUUGACAAAGGGUACUGUUACUCAUUUUGUUUUUCAACAUAGCUCUCUAAAAGGUAUAUGAAUCAUCCUUUUGAAACUUGGAAUGCAGGCAAAACAUUGGAUGUGAAUGGAAACUAAGUAAACAAUUCCUCACAUCACCUAAACUUCUUUUCAGCAUCAGCCCCAGAAAAAGUCAUUUUCUUAGCAGUAGCCUACUACCUGAAAAAAGUGGUAAAAAAUUUAUUCACAGAGAGCAAUUUAUUUUUUUAAAGAUUUUAUUUAUUUAUUCAUGAGAGGCAGAGGCAAAGACACAGGCAGAGGGAGAAGCAGGCUCCUCACAGGGACCGCAAUACAGGACUUGAUCCCAGGACUCUGGGAUCACACCCUGAGCCAAAGGCAGAUGCUCAACCAUCUGAGCCACCCAGGGAUCCUGAGAGCAACUUAUUUAUCAUAAGAUGUGGCUUAGUAAGGUGUUUCGUGUUCUGGAAACAAAAAGUUAAUUCUUCCUUCCAAAGCCUUAGGAAAACAGGCAUAUUGUAAACACACUUUUGCAUUUUAGAGUUGGUCCUCAUUUUACUUUAGAAGGUUGUUUCUAUGGGUUCCAUAAAUUGGCAUUCUUAAAUUUACAGAAAUGAGUGUAAGUAAUUUAAUAGUAUUUUUGUAUCACAGAUCUAAUAUGACAUAUAUUAGAGCACACUUUCAUUCUCCAUAUGGGAUUACAAAGGGAGGGAGGGUAGAAAAUAAAAUCCCAAGAGAUGAAACUACACUUAGCUAAAGUGAUGCUUCUUUAUGAAAAAUCUUAAGCUACUUCUAAUAGUGUCAAGUCCAAGCUGAGGCUCAACACUGCCAUCUCCUUCUUAAAUAUUGAAAUACAUGGAGCAAUCUCAGGAUAAAAAUAUAGAAUAACAGAGCAAAAAAGAGCUACUGGACACAUAAAAUACAUGAAACACAUAACUUUUAUGUUUGUCAUUUUGGAAGGAUGGUCCAUCCACUAAGAUAGUAUAUACAUUUUAUUAAAUUAACAAAUAUAUUAACCAACAAAAUGACUACUAAUUUUUGGUAGAUUCUCUCUUCCCCAAAGGGCAAAAUAUAUAGCUAACUUAUUCAUACUAUUAUUGAUACUAGUGCAACUUAUGUUUCUUAUUUUGAAGAUAUUUAAUCAUUGAGACAAAUCACUAAGGUAGUUGAUAAAGCCAGCCUUAAAUUUAGGCAGAGAAUUCAUUGAACUAGAAUUUCAGGGCUCUCAUUCUCAGACUUUGACUCUAAUAGUUUCCCUACGUGGUAAUUGAUACCUGAAAAUCUACCAUUAGAAUGUUUUCUUUAACUUAAAGAAAGCUCUGAGCUCUAUUACAAUUCAAAGAACUCACUGAGGUAAAUUUAUAAUGCGUUACCAACUACAAGGUUCCUAUUGUGCGUUGUUCUCCAGUAGGGUGACACUAAAUUCCUGGAGAAGGCCAGUUGAUGCCUCUUGUCCUAGAAUAAUUAUUAAAAAUUCAAUUUUAUCAGUCAGAUAAAUUAUAUGAUUCUCCUAGUCUUAGGUCUUUCUUGAGGAAAGAAUUUAGCAAAACAGAGGAGACUACUGUGGCCAGUAGUGAGCCCCUACCAAAGUAAAUGAAUGGGAAGUAAGAAGCAGAAUGGGAAGGUUGAGGGAAUUAUUUAUGUAUUACAUUUAUAGGAUUUUGGGGGAAAAAAAUCCCACAUAGUAUGAAAUGCAACACAAUCUUACUUGACUAUAGUAAAAAAUAUAUUUAGCUAAAAUAAAUAUUAAAGCACCAGAUUUGUUUUAUCACUGAUUUCUUGAGCAAUUUGUAUUUUCCAGAAGAACAAAAAUGUUAAUUUGGUAUUUCUCAUUCCCAAACCGAAUAGAUCACUACUACUGCAGUCAUUUCUCAGAUCCAAAGCAAAGACAAAUAUAUUCAAAAUCAGCCUGAGAAAAUCAUAGGUUUGGGAGAGGCACUAUGUCAUCAUAAACAUUCUCAUCCUAUCUAGUAAAACGCCUUUCUCCCUCUAAUAUCUUGAGAUCUAUGAGAGAAGCCUAGAAGAAACAAGGGAAGCUACCACCAUGUUAGCUGUUGGACAGGUUACUCACUGGUCAGAAUAGCUGUGUUGCCAUGGCUGAUAUACAAAAAGCUCACAUCCUAAAAGUCAGGGAUCAAAUUCAAGAACAUCCAUGGACUCAAGGGGAAAAAAGAGGAUGUGUUCACUCUUACUGAAGCAGUCAUAAUGGACCAACUUUCAAAUAACAUGAAUGGUAGAAGGAGAUUCAGUGUUCACUCUAGAAAUAGGAAAUAAGAAAUAUUUUUGUGAAUCUAUCAAACGAUGAACACACUUCACAUAAGCUAUGUGAAUGAUAUUAAAACUUAACUACAGGAAAAAAUAAAACUUAACCACAGAAAUAUAAUUAUAUGAUGUUUUUACACCUUCUAAAUUAAGUAAUUUAAAACUUUAAGAAAGUUUCUCUUCAAGUAAGCGGACUAUGAAAUGAAUCAGACUCAGAGAAGUUUCCCCGUCCUCCAAUCACCAGGAGUUUUUAUAUAAAAGUUACUGGAGCAAAUGAUCUCUUCGCCUACCACCUCCAAGUUUAAUCAAUCUGUGUAUUAAAUAUUUGGGCUUUAGGCUUUUGAAUGAGAAGCAUAUAUUUUUCUCCUUUCCCCUUUAUUCCCUUUCACUAGAAAAAUGAGUGGGAAAUAUCAGAAAGGGAGACAGAACAUGAGAGACUCCUAACUCUGGGAAAUGAACUAGGGGUGGUGGAAGGGGAGGUGGGCGGGGGGUGGCGGUGACUGGGUGAUGGGCACUGAGGGGGGGCACUUGAUGGGAUGAGCAUUGGGUGUUAUUCUAUAUGUUGGCAAAUUGAACACCAAUAAAAAAUAAAUUUAUAUAAAAAAAGAAGCAUAUAUUUUACAUUGCACUUAAUGUCAUCUGAAAGAACAUCUUCAAGUUUUAUUAUAACAUUCAUUAUAAGAAAUAAAAAACGACAAAUGUGUUUAAAUAACCAAAGCAGCCUUACUUGAUGUUCCUCAAUACUGCCUUGAGUUCUUUGGGAAAGCAAUGCUGAUUUGAAGUACUCUCUUUUAGUGCAGCUGCAGUGCAGUGGAUGUACAUGAGGCUGCCGAUGUUGCAAAAGAAGCACCAUAUCUGUUGACUUUCCCUUGGACCCUUGAAUAAAGAUGCUGCACUCUAC